CUCAUGGUCAAACCUCCACCUCUUUGAAGAGACCAAGCAGCUUGAUGACUGACUGGUUCUUUAUACUCAAGACCUCGUCCCGGAGCAGAGGACGGACCUCGUCCCGCAGUGCAGCCGACUAGAGACUCCAUGUGGAACCGGUUCAAUAAAGUUGACCUCUCCUUCAGGCGACUUAAAGGGAGACCAGAUGUGCGACGGCUGGGUGUCAUGGUGCAGAGACCCAACGCUGCACUGAACUACACCAGUGUGUCCUACUCCCCAUAAACCCUGAGGAUCCCUGGCUACACCAGCACAUUAAUCCACACCCAACAUUAACACGCAGUGCACACUCUAUAGAGCUUGUAAGUCCGCCCCUUGCGGCGGGACCUCGUGAGAUCGUAAGAUAUGACUGGGUUUCAAUGGAGAGGAAGUAAUUAUUAUCUCCAUUAUGUUGCACCACAUUUUGGGGGAAGAAUGUUUGAAUCAAUCUUUGUCAUUUAUUUCUGUACUCCAUAUCUGUAAUCCCAGCUGUUUAACACAGUAGCUGGGAACCCUCUUUAUAGGGAGCGGCUAGAGGGACGAGGCUGGAAGCAAACCUGAGCCUGGAUCUUAACCUUCUUUCUAAACCUAAUGCCGCAAUUUAACCGCAAAUAAAGUGAGGCCUAAAGUAACUUGACUCUCUUACCUAAACUUGCUUGCAUAAACUCGCUUGCCUAAACUCGCUUGCAUAAAACCUAAACUCGCUUGCAUAAAACCUGAACUUGCUUGGCUAAACUCGCGUCGCUUGCCUAAUACCUGAACUUGCUUGCCUAUACUCGCUUGCCUAAUACCUGAACUCGCUUGCCUAAUACCUGAACUCGCUUGCCUAAACUCACUUGCAUAAAGCCUAAACUCGCUUAGCUUGACUCGCUUGCCUGUUCUCGCGUGGCUAAACUCGCUUGCAUAAAACCUAAACUCGCUGGCAUAAAACCUAAACUCGCUUAGCUUGACUCGCUUGCCUGAACUCGCUUGCCUAAACUCACUUGCAUAAAACCUAAACUCGCUUAGCUUGACUCGCUUGCCUGUACUCGCUUGGCUAAACUCGCUUGCAUAAAACCUAAACUCGCUUGCAUAAAACCUUAGCUUGACUCGCUUGCCUGAACUCGCUUGCCUAAUACCUGAAGUCGCUUACCUAAACUCGCUUGCCUAAAACCUAAACUUGCUUGUCCAAACACGUUACACAAAGUUAACCAUCCAUAAUCUUUAACCCAAACCAGACUUGUCCCUGGGUCGCUCCACUUUAAUUUAGAAGUUUCUUCUUUCACCUCAUCUGCGUUUUGAGUUUCAUUCUUUGAGGGCUUGAAGUGCUUUGGAGGAUAUUUGAACCUUUGUUUGCCGCAUCAAUAAACAUGCUUUAUCUUCACCCAUUUUGUUCUGGAUUGCAUUUCUAUGUGUAAUCCGGCCAAAUGUUCAGUGUCCUUGCAUGUAAUGUCUAUGGUCUGACGAUAAUCUGACCUCUUCAUGAAGCAGAAUGUGUGUGAAUGUUGUCCCGUGAGCUCCAGGCUCUCUGUGGGCCUGUCAACGUCUCUUGAGCAAAAGGUUGGAGAGUGAAUUCAUUUUUGUGCCAUUUUCAUGUGUUCCUGAGUAGUUCAGACCUGUGGUGUUUCACAUGAGACCUUAAUGGGAACUUUUCUUCUUCUGCCUGCAUAUGUAAUGCCUACAUUAGUAGGGUGAUCACUGUUGAUCCCAAUAUUGAUCAUUAACCACCUCAUUCUUUUAUGAUUUUUUUCGAUAAGGAUUACAAAUCAUGUAAUUUAUGAGCAUAUUUGCAAAUGGCUCCAAAUAUCGGAUUGUGUAAAAACGAAUGAAAUGUAACCUGCUUGAUUUAAAGAAAAUAAAACAUCCAAAUAUUAUA